GUCCGUAGGCGGUGCGGUAAGUUGGGAGUGAAAUCUCUGAGCUUAACUUAGAGGCUGCUUCCAAAACUACCGUGCUAGAGUGCGAGAGAGGCAAGUGGAAUUGCGGGUGUAGCGGUGAAAUGCGUAGAUAUCCGCAGGAACAUCCGAGGCGAAAGCGGCUUGCUGGAUCGCAACUGACGCUGAGGGACGAAAGCUAGGGGAGCAAACAGGAUUAGAUACCCUGGUAGUCCUAGCCCUAAACCAUCACGACUUGGGGUUUGUCCUGUACGGGGCAAGUCCCGGAGCUAACGCGUUAAGUCGUGCGCCUGGGGAGUACGGUCGCAAGACUGAAACUCAAAGGAAUUGACGGGGGCCCGCACAAGCGGUGGAACAUGUGGUUCAAUUCGACGCAACGCGAAGAACCUUACCUGGGCUUGAACCGCACAGGACCCUCCUUAGAAAUAGGGACUUCCCGCAAGGGACCUGUGUAGAGGUGCUGCAUGGCUGUCGUCAGCUCGUGCCGUGAGGUGUUGGGUUAAGUCCCGCAACGAGCGCAACCCUUACUCAUAGUU
rnacentral:rRNA from 1 species